UUCGCAAUGCCCGAAAGGGUGGCGAAGCGACGCCGCGUGGGUGAGGAAGGCCUUCGGGUUGUAAAGCCCUGUCAGGAGUUAAGAAAUGUAAGUGCGCUAAUAUCGCAUUUAUUUGACGAAGGCUCCAAAGGAAGUCACGGCUAACUCUGUGCCAGCAGCCGCGGUAAUACAGAGGUGGCAAGCGUUGUUCGGAAUUAUUGGGCGUAAAGAGCACGUAGGUGGGUUUGCAAGUCAGAUGUGAAAGCCUCCUGUUCAACGGGAGAAUUGCAUCUGAAACUGCAGAUCUUGAGUGUAGGAGGGGAGAAUGGAACUUCUGGUGGAGCGGUGAAAUGCGUAGAUAUCAGAAGGAACGCCGGCGGCGAAAGCGAUUCUCUGGCCUAUUACUGACACUCAGUGUGCGAAAGCUAGGGGAGCAAACGGGAUUAGAUACCCCGGUAGUCCUAGCCGUAAACGAUGGGCACUAAGUAGAGGGGUUUU
rnacentral:rRNA from 2 species